GGACCAGGUAAUCCAUCAGCAGUAAGAACGCGAAGCAGGGAAGGUGGUGGUCUGUCGACCCAACAUUGAAGUCCCACCUCCCGAUCGGCAAGCGAGGCGGCGGCAGAAUUCGCUUCUCUUGGAACCCAGUUCCAGUGAACCUCAGAGAAUUCCGACUGCUUUUUCCUGAUCAUGCGGAUCAGUGGGUAAAUUGUCCAGUCCCCAGAAUACUUCCGGUUCUUCAGAUUGGUAAGAGUAUAGCUUCUGCUUCAGCUGUGCGGAGCAGCAAGUGAGAGAUAACCCUCCCAACUCCCUGGGCAUGGCGUAUAACUACACCAAGGCCUGCUCAUCAUGAAUAGAAUUGAAAAGCCGGCCGAAAACGAAUAAAAAAAGGAAUCUGCCCCGAACGAAUCCGACUUUUCUAAAUAGCCUUCCACCCAAGGAACGAAAUGAAGAGGACGGCGAGGUGGCAGUGAAGUGCUCGACCAUAGAUAGCAUAGUAGGCACCGAACGUAGUGAGGUGGGAAGCAAAGGCUCUGAAAGAGUUAAAUUUUUUACAAGUUCUACCAGUGUGAAAUCUCACUUUACCGUUUUUGCUAAAAAAAACCUGCUCGAUCUGCAACAAUUCCGUUUUACCUACACGUGAUUUCUUACCUUGCCUUUUUUGCCCGAAACGGAUCCUACUUUUAGGAAAAUUCUAAUUUACCUACAUGCCAAAUCUUACUUUCCCAUUUUCGCUAAGGAGAUCGUUCCUUUUUUUUUUUAAGUUUCAUUUUACCUUAGCUGUCAAAGUGAUCAUUUUCCGUCAAAUCGCUCUCUUUCUCAUCCCGAUCUCGAGUCUUAUAGAAGAUCUCGCCAUGCAGCUGACGCCAGCAUGUCAAUAAGUUGCAUGAGCCUAUGAGUGGAAAGACUAAAAAAGAACCCUUCUAUCUUCACUGCCUACUUCGUAGCCUCACCUCGCCACGCUCAGUGCCUUUGCUUCGCAACCUUCACUUCGUUUCUUCACUUAUCCUUCGGAGCCUCUCAACCUAAGGUUCGAGCAGCUUCACUCCGUUCGAAACCUUUGAAUUGCUUUUCUCUUCCGCCAUAACAAAAUGUAAUCCCC
rnacentral:lncRNA from 1 species